UAUAUUGGACAAUGGGCGAAGGCCUGAUCCAGCCAUGCUGCGGGUGUGUAGAAGGUCUUCGGCUUGUAAAGCUCUCUAAUUUGGGCGGAAGGGUUUACACCUAAUACGUGUGAACUUUGACGUUACCAAAAGAAUAGGCACCGGCGAACUUCGUGCAAGCAGCCGCGGUAAUACGAAGGGUGCAAGCGUUAAUCGGAAUUAUUGGGCGUAAAGCGCGCGUAGGUGGUUCGGUAAGUUGGAAGUGAAAGCCCCGGGCUCAACCUGGGAAUUGCUUUCAAAACUGGCGAGCUAGAGUACGGUAGAGGGUGGUGGAAUUUCCUGUGUAGCGGUGAAAUGCGUAGAUAUAGGAAGGAACAUCAGUGGCGAAGGCGACCACCUGGACUGAUACUGACACUGAGGUGCGAAAGCGUGGGGAGCAAACAGG
rnacentral:rRNA from 1 species